CAAAGGGUGAUUGGGCAAGACAAAACAUGUAAGUGCCUUUGAACGUGGUAUGGUAGUAGUUGCCAGGGGCACUGGUAUUUCGCUGUUGGGUAUUUCACGCUCAUCAGUUUCCCGUGGGUAUCAAGAAUGGUCCACCGAACGCGAUGGUAGGGGACGCCAUGUGCGACUGACGUGUUUUCCGUUAGCUCCCGUGGUAUUCUUAAAGUUUAUGUGAAUUCUGCAGCAGAACCGUAUUUAUUUUCAAAUAUUAAUUUGGUGAUCCCUUUCUGUAAAAACCAAGACUACUUUGCUUCCGAAUGUCAGCAUGUCGACCAAACAUAAGGAUGACUUUGAGAAAACCCGGCCUACAAGACCCGCUCUCAUCACCGCCCUCUCCUGAGUCUGAGGGCCCGGGGACACACACUUUACCCGGGGGCGCGGCUUGGCCUGGCGGCACUGAAAUGAACAUUCUCGAGGCCAUCAAACUACUACGCUCUGAGAUAGUUGAAAUGAAAACACAGGUGGUUGCUACGAUUGAGGCCAGAAUACAGGAGGUUUCUGAUACUUUAAAAGCAGAUUUAACCAUCCUGCGGAACAAGACUGUGCCAGCAAUCACAAUACUCAAAACAACAACUGCGUCACACACUACAACGAUUGCAGCACUGGAGACCUCCGCUACUAAUGUCUCCGAUAUAACUACAUCCCUGGAGGCUGAAGUUAAACGCCUAGCUGCGGAUUUGAAAAAGGUGAAGGAGAGCUGUGUGAGUCUAGAGGGAUUCUCUCGCCGCAAUAAUCUGAGACUUGUAUUGGUCCCAGAGUCUGCGGAAAUGCAUCGCGCCACGGAUUUCGUUUCAGGGCUGCUGAAGGAUGUUCUUGCCUUAGAUGAAAAGCCCCUGAUUGAUCGAGCCCACCGGUCGCUGCGCCCAAAGCCCCGGGAUGGGGAGAGGCCCCGUGACAUAAUUCUUCGAGUGCACUUUUUUCAUGAGAAGAUGGAGAUCCUCCGACGAGCCCGCAAUACCACUCUGAGCUUUCAAGGACAGAGCUUUUCCAUAUACCAGGACUACUCCCCCACUGUUUCCAGGCAGCGCGCAGCUUUCGGACAGGCCAAACGAGUACUUCGGGACCAUCCAAGUGUGAAGUAUGGACUGCGAUUCCCGGCCCGUUUAUGGAUAUCUCAUGAGGGUAAAGACUACACAUUUGAAUCUCCAGAUGAGGCUAUGGCUCACAUUCAACGUCACAUCAAGAAGUCUUGAAUAUGCUCACAGUUCAGCAACUGUUGCUUGCGAACUGUGGAUAAGGCCAACAUGGUGUCCCAGACUGAGUGGACGUUUUAUCCCAACUUUGGUCAGCCCAGAACCUUCCAUGUUGGCAAACGCUGUUUGCUGGAGGGAGGUCACCAGUAUAGGACCAUACGGUGUUCUUCAGAGAGAACUCUGGAGGUCACCAUCGGGAGGAAAAAACAAGCCAGGUUUACCUGCCAUUCUGCACCUGGUUCUAGAGCCUAUCUAACACCUGAGUACAGUCCUGACUUUCACAAGUUUGGAUCAACAUUACCAACAACACAUUUUGGGUCACUGACCUUCAGUGCAGAUACAUUCGUUCCUCUUCAGCCACCUCCAAAAAAGACAUGUAUUCCAUAUGUAGCGAGGAAGAGGAUGGAGGACAGGGAGGCAGACAUACUGGAAGUGAAGAAGCUGAGUAAAUGGAGGCCUGCACCAGUCAUAUUCAAAACUGUGCUGGACAACUGACAUGUCAAAAUGUUUUUUGGAUGAAUGAGGAGAAAUGGAUAACGAUUCCAAACUGUAUAUUAUGAUCAUUCGGCAUGAUUACAGCCACGUGGUUUUGAUUCUACUGUAGUUUGAUAAGGAAGUUUGGUGGGAGGGGGGGAUCAAUGAUGUAAUAAAGUGUGACUAAUUGUCAUGACAUAAUUUGGAGCUUUUGCCAUCACUAUUCACUUUUGAACAAUUGGGUUAUGCAAUUUGCUGAGGGGAGAUAAGCAACAAUAAGCCAAGCAGGGAAAAAAAGUUCCCAGGUGGCCUGACUUUGCUGAGUUCCAAAAGCAAUUAGGUCAGCAACAGUUGAUAACCUGACCUCUGUUUUGCCUUAUAGUCUGGCAGAGGUGCUUCGCAUAGAUUUCCUUAAUUCCCAGGGGAAGAUAAGUGGUGGUCUCAAUCCCUCCUUCAGCAAAACAACACUGCUGAUCCCGUUCAGGAUAGACAGGGACAACUAGGGCUGCCACUAUUAGCUGCUUAGUCACUUCAGCAUGCCUCAAGGUUAGGGAGGGGGUGUGUACAGGUUUUUAAUAAUGGUCCCAUGUAUCUCUGCAUUCAUGACAUGUCGGAUCAAGGAAACUCUGAAUUUUUACAACAUUGUAGAAAGAUGAUAGGCGGUAGGCCGUUCAGAGUUUUCCAAUUGGAAAGUAUCAGAAUCAACCAAUAGAAAGCUACACGCAAAUAACUUAUUUCGGAGGUUUGGAGGUUCCGACAUGUGAUGAAUGCAGCAUCUGUGUUAUGGUACGUUUUCAUUUGCGGAGGCUUUCCAGACCGACAAGCAAAGGGUAGAGCAGGAAUCGUAUAGGUCAGUGGGUUAGCCUGGGCAUGUUCAGUACAAAAACGUUUUUGAAUGUUUCCUUUAAGUGUACUUUUUUGAGAUUACUAAUGUCACUGUCCCACUACAAAAAAACAAAAUUGAAUUGAAAUGAAAUACUGUAGAAUUCCAUUCAUUCCUAUGGAGGACUGCUCCUACUGGGGAGUGCCAAUACGGCCAACCAGUGCCUUCAAAGCCUCUCAAUGGCCAAUAAAUAACAUCAGCAAUCCAGAGUUUAUAUACAUCGUUGUUACCCACUUCUCUCUACGUAUGUGACACUAGCCACAAUAGUGGAAUUUGUGUUUCGUCUGCAAAAUCGAAGUCCCUCAUUGAAAGUGCUGCAAACGGAUACAAAUAGUGGAUUCAUGCCAUAUUUGGACUAGAUAAUACUAAACAAGGUUGGAAUGUUAUUACAUAUUUGUUGACACGAUGGGUUCACAAUCCAUAGCUAAGGCUGUUCAGUGCAUAUAAGUAUGCCCCAAUGCAAUUAUGCAGUCUAAUACAUCCACAAUGGGAUUUCAACAGUUUGUUUCUCUCUGUUGUCAAACUAAUUAAUUAUUUUAUUUCAUUUAAAAUUAGGCAACAACAUUCCAACCUUUAGCAUUAUCUAGUCCAAAUAUGUCAUGAUUCCACUAUUGGUAACCAUUGCAUCCUUUUCAACGAGGGACUUUAAUUUUGAAAGCAAACCGCAAAUUCCACACAUUGUAGCCCUGCACGGGCAUUCAUUUUAAGUCCGAGCCCUAGCCAUGCCGUUCAGACCCUAGCCUACCACAGGCCUGAUUUGCUUCUGCCAAAUGUAAGGGCCGAGCUUGGGCUCCAUUAGUUGCUGCUCUCUGUCUGUCACUCACUCCUUGCACGCGUUUACAUUUUUACAUUUGAGUAAUUUAUCAGACCCUCUUAUCCAGAGCGAGUUCAUACAUUUUCAUACUGGUCCCCUGUGGGAAUCAAAGCCACAACCCUGGCAUUGCAAGUGCCAUGCUCUACCAAGUGAGCCACACAGGACUAGCAAAACCAUUGCCUCAUAGCGGCUCUGAUCAAUUUAGUGAUACCCGAGCCCUGCCUGUACCCUGGUUAUUGAUGAAAAAACAGGCCCUACGUGGCCCUAACCCGAUGUACAGUAUAAUGUCGGGGCCGUCAGGCUCGGGUCAGGUAGCAGAGCUCUAAAUCAAAUCAAAUAUAUUGGUCACAUACACAUAUUUAGCAGAUGUUAUUGCGGGUGUAGCGAAAUGCUUGUGUUCCUAGCUCCAACUGUGCAGUAGUACCUAACAAUUUACAUCACUACACAAAUCUAAAAGUAAAAGAAUGGAAUUAAGAAAUAUAUAAAUAUUAGGACAAGCAAUGUCGGAGUGGCAUUGACUAAAUACAGUAGAAUGGAAUACAGUAUAUACAUUUGAGAUCAGUAAAGCAGAAUGUGAACAUAAUUAAAGUGACUACUGUUUCAUUAUUAAAGUGUCCAGUGAUUCUAUGUCUAUGUAUAUAGGGCAGCAGCCUCUAAGAUGCAGGGUUGAGUAGCCGGCUGGUGAUUGCUAUUUAACAGUCUGAUGGCCUUGAGAUAGAAGCUGUUUUCAGCUCGGU